rnacentral:rRNA from 1 species
CGGCCCGGGGGGCGACCCCGGGGACGCGCGUCCCCGCGAGCUGCGAACGAACAACCCUUCGGGCGCGGCGAGCGCCAAGGAAUCGAAGCGGAAAGGGCGGCGGAGCCUCGCCCGGCGCGGGCGCGCCCCGGACGGGGACGCGCCGCCGGCGCGGGGGGUCCGCCGCCCGCCAGUGAAAUCUUCCGGACGACUCUCGGCAACGGAUAUCUCGGCUCUCGCAUCGAUGAAGAACGUAGCGAAAUGCGAUACUUGGUGUGAAUUGCAGAAUCCCGUGAACCAUCGAGUCUUUGAACGCAAGUUGCGCCCGAGGCCACUCGGCCGAGGGCACGCCUGCCUGGGCGUCACGCCACCCAUCGCCCCCCGCCGCGGCAUUCCCCAUGCCCCGCCGGGGAGCGGAGACUGGCCGUCCGUGCCCGAGCCCUCGGCGCGCGGUCGGCAGAAAAGGAGGACACCGUGCGGCGCGACAAGGCGUGUGGGGGUUGAGAGGCGGCUCGCCGCCGAUCGUACGUCGCGCCCGCAUUCCGCCGCGCGCAGUGUCACCCGUGGGACCGGACUCGCCCGCAGCCGCGGGCGCUCGGACCGCGACCCCAGGUCAGGCGUGGCCACCCGCUGAAUUUAAGCAUAUCAAUAAGCGGAGGAAAAGAUUUU